GACGAACGCUGGCGGCGUGCUUAACACAUGCAAGUCGAGCGAGAACUUAGCAAAUGAUUCUUCGGAUGAAUUUGCUAAGGGAGAGCGGCGGAUGGGUGAGUAACGCGUGAGCAACCUGCCUUACACAAGGGGAUAGCCGUGGGAAACCAUGAUUAAUACCCUAUGACAUAUAAACUGUGCAUACAGAAUAUAUUAAAGAUUUAUCGGUGUAAGAUGGGCUCGCGUCUGAUUAGCUAGUUGGUGAGAUAAAAGCUCACCAAGGCAACGAUCAGUAACCGGCUUGAGAGAGUGAACGGUCACACUGGAACUGAGACACGGUCCAGACUCCUACGGGAGGCAGCAGUGGGGGAUCUUGCACAAUGGAGGAAACUCUGAUGCAGCGACGUCGUGUGAGUGAUGAAAGUCUUCGGAUUGUAAAGCUCUGUCCUAAGGGAUGAUAAUGACAGUACCUUAGGAGGAAGCCCC
rnacentral:rRNA from 1 species